CAGCCGCCACGGUAAAACGAAGGGUGCAAGCGUUACUCGGAAUUACUGGGCGUAGAGCGUGCGUAGGUGGUGGUUUAAGUCCGUUGUGAAAGCCCUGGGCUCAACCUGGGAAUUGCAGUGGAUACUGGGUCACUAGAGUGUGGUAGAGGAUAGUGGAAUUUCCGGUGUAGCAGUGAAAUGCGUAGAGAUCGGAAGGAACAUCUGUGGCGAAGGCGACUAUCUGGGCCAACACUGACACUGAGGCACGAAAGCGUGGGGAGCAAACAGGAUUAGAUACCCCUGUAGUCCCUGUCUCUUAUAC
rnacentral:rRNA from 1 species